GACGAACGCUGGCGGCGUGCUUAACACAUGCAAGUCGAACGGAAAGGCCCUGCUUUUGUGGGGUGCUCGAGUGGCGAACGGGUGAGUAACACGUGAGUAACCUGCCCUGACUUUUGGGUAACUUCAAGAAACUGGGGCUUAUACCGGGUAGGAACCCCUGCUUCCUGGGGGGGGGUGGGAAGUUUCGGCGGUUGGGGAUGGACUCGCGGCUUAUCAGCUUGUUGGGUGGGUAGUGGCUUACCAAGGCUUUGACGGGUAGCCGGCCUGAGAGGGUGACCGGCCACAUUGGGACUGAGAUACGGCCCAGACUCCUACGGGAGGCAGCAGUGGGGAAUAUUGCACAAUGGGCGGAAGCCUGAUGCAGCAACGCCGCGUGCGGGAUGACGGCCUUCGGGUUGUAAACCGCUUUCGCCUGUGACGAAGCGUGAGUGACGGUAAUGGGUAAAGAAGCACCGGCUAACUACGUG
rnacentral:rRNA from 1 species